rnacentral:rRNA from 1 species
AUGUCAGACGUCACCGCCGAGUUCACGCCGCGCCAGCGCCUGCCUACGCCGUCGCCAUCACUAUCCCCUCAGCAGUCUCGCAGUCGUCAGCCGCCCCCUCCCGGCUCCGACCCCCUCGCUCUCGGCGUCGUCAUCUUCAUCGCCGUCUGCUUCCUCCUGGUUUCAAUCUCAGCUCCAUCAAGCAUUUUACAUCAAGUUCCUGAAGGACAUGUUGGGGUAUACUGGAGGGGAGGUGCUCUUUUGAAAACCAUUACUACUCCAGGCUAUCACCUGAAGCUGCCUUUCAUCACCCAGUUUGAGCCAAUACAGGUUACACUCCAAACAGACCAGGUCAAAGGUAUUCCUUGUGGAACGAAAGGCGGUGUCAUGAUCAGCUUUGACAAGAUAGAGGUUGUCAAUCGUCUCAAUAAAGACUUUGUUUAUGAGACCCUGCUCAAUUAUGGUGUGCAUUAUGAUAAGACAUGGAUAUAUGACAAAAUUCAUCACGAGAUAAACCAGUUCUGCAGUGCUCAUAGUUUGCAGCAAGUUUACAUUGACAUGUUCGAUCAGAUUGAUGAGACCAUGAAAGAAGCUAUCCAAAGGGACUGCACGCGCUAUGCUCCUGGAAUUGAGAUUAUCAGUGUUCGUGUUACAAAACCAAACAUACCUGUUAGUAUUAGGAGAAAUUUUGAACUUAUGGAGGAGGAGCGUACAAAGGCGCUAAUUGCCAUCGAAAGGCAAAAGGUGGCAGAAAAGGAGGCAGAAACUCAGAAGAAGAUCGCACUAUCUGAAGCAGAAAAGAAUGCACUAGUGAGCAAGAUCCUCAUGCAGCAGAUGCUAACGGAGAAGGACAGUUCCAAAAGGCAGCAGCAGAUUGAUAAUGAAAUGUUUCUUGCCCGAGAGAGAGCCCUUGCAGAUGCAAACUAUUACAGGAUUACGAAGGAAGCAGAGGCUAACAAACUAAAACUUACACCUGAGUAUCUUGAGCUGAGGUUCAUUGAAUCAAUUGCCAAUAACACAAAGAUUUUCUUUGGUGAAAAGAUUCCGAACAUGAUCAUGGAUCAAAGGUUGAUUCGAAAUCACCUUGAUUCUGCUCCGAGCAAGGACCAGUUAGAAAUAUAG